UGGGGAAUCUUCCGCAAUGGGCGAAAGCCUGACGGAGCAACGCCGCGUGAGCGAAGAAGGCCUUCGGGUUGUAAAGCUCUGUCAGGAGGGACGAAGCCACUCGGGUGAACAGCCCAGAGGGUGACGGUACCUCCAGAGGAAGCCCCGGCUAACUACGUGCCAGCAGCCGCGGUAAUACGUAGGGGGCGAGCGUUGUCCGGAAUCAUUGGGCGUAAAGCGCGUGUAGGGGGCUUGGCAAGUCUGUGUGAAAGCUCGAGGCUCAACCUCGAGUCUGCACCGGAAACUGCCUUGCUAGAGUCCGGAAGAGGAGACUGGAAUUCCUGGUGUAGCGGUGAAAUGCGCAGAUAUCAGGAAGAACACCGGUGGCGAAGGCGGGUCUCUGGGACGGUACUGACGCUGAGACGCGAAAGCGUGGGGAGCAAACA
rnacentral:rRNA from 1 species